UACGUAGGGUGCGAGCGUUGUCCGGAAUUAUUGGGCGUAAAGAGCUUGUAGGUGGUUUGUCGCGUCUGCUGUGAAAAUCCGAGGCUCAACCUCCAGCCUGCAGUGGGUACGGGCAGACUAGAGUGCGGUAGGGGAGAUUGGAAUUCCUGGUGUAGCGGUGGAAUGCGCAGAUAUCAGGAGGAACACCGAUGGCGAAGGCAGAUCUCUGGGCCGUAACUGACGCUGAGGAGCGAAAGCGUGGGGAGCGAACAGG
rnacentral:rRNA from 1 species